GAUAGCCAAAGAUAAUACUUGGAUCAUAUGUAGGAUUAGUUAUUACUCGAACAUCUCCUCCACCAGGAGCCCAAGUAUCGUAAACACCUCCAAACCAUACAGCUUUAGCUACUAAUAAUAAUGCACCAAAGCCUAGAAGAACUAAAUGAAUACCUAAAAUAGUAGUCAUUUUGUUUUUAUCUUUCCA
rnacentral:antisense_RNA from 17 species